CCUACGGGUGGCUGCAGUGAGGAAUAUUGGUCAAUGGUCGGGAGACUGAACCAGCCAAGCCGCGUGAGGGAUGAAGGUACAGAGUAUCGUAAACCUCUUUUGUCAGGGAACAAAGGCGGGGACGUGUCCCCGGAUGAGUGUACCUGAAGAAAAAGCAUCGGCUAACUCGUUGCCAGCAGCCGCGGUAAUACGGAGGAUGCGAGCGUUAUCCGGAUUUAUUGUGUUAAAAGGUUGCGCAGGGGGUCUGUUAAUUCAGCGGAAAACGCCCGGGUCUCAACCCCGGCCCGCCGUUGAAACUUGCAGUCUCGAGUUGGAGAGAAGUAUGCGGAAUGCGCGGUGUAGCGGUGAAAUGCAUAGAUAUCGCGCAGAACUCCGAUUGCGAAGGCAGCAUGCCGGCUCCACACUGACGCUGAGGCACGAAAGCGUGGGUAUCGAACAGGAUUAGAUACCCCAGUAGUC
rnacentral:rRNA from 1 species